GGUCACGACCAUACCACGUCUGAUCAUCGAAGUUAAGCAACGUCGGGCCCGGUUAGUACGCGCAUGGGUGACCGGCUGGUAACAGCGGGUGUGGUAGCCG
rnacentral:rRNA from 1 species